rnacentral:rRNA from 1 species
UACGAGGGGGGCAAAUGUUGUUCGGAAUCACUGGGCGUAAAGGGAGCGUAGGCGGGUUUUUAAGUCAGGUGUUUAAUCCCGGGGCCCAACCCCGGACAGGCACUUGAAACUGGGAAUCUUGAAUAGUGGAGAGGUCGGUGGAAUUGGGGGUGUAGCGGUGGAAUGCGUAGAGAUCCCCAAGAACACCCGUUGCGAAGGCGGCCGACUGGACACAUAUUGACGCUGAGACGCGAAAGCGUGGGGAGCGAACAGG